ACCAGGAUCCUGUGCUGUGUCCGGCACCCCUUGCUUUGUCUGGCUGUCUUUGCUCGGGUGUCCUGUGGACAGGAGGUGCACAGAAGCGAGCGAAACAGGACACUGCUCCUCUAAACUCCAGACAGCUUUGCAACGAAAAUGUUGCAGACUUGGAGGCUUGGCUGAUUUGGAGAAGGCUCCAGAGACUUCUACACUGUAAACUCCUGGGCAGAAGGCUGUGGAUGAAAUACUGCCGCACCUGGGGCUUUUUCAGACAUCAGCCCGUGCUACAGGAGAGAGAACAAAAGUUUCAAGCCACAUUAAAUGCUGCUGCUAGCUGGACUACAUUACCCUGUGUGAUCUCUCCAUGGUUUCACUCAAAACAAGGCUGCUUUACCAUUUUCUUUCAAAAUCUGUGAGAAGUUGCAGCUUUUCCCAGCUGGUGAGGCCUUAUUUCCUCUCUCUCUUGUUUUUUUCCCCAUUUGUACUUCACAGACUCCUACCAAGGGUGUCUGACACUUUGCCUUUCAGGGCAGCCUUCUAAUUGCCUGUGUAAGUGGAAAGUCAGAUGCCCAAUCCACAUCCCAGCAAAGGUGAUAAUCAGGGAGCUCCUCUGGCUUUGGCUGGCAACAGCUGCAGUCUGGGAAAGGGGAACCCAGGACAAAUGGGGGGUGGGGAGGUGACGGGAGUGGCAGGGAGUGUG